rnacentral:rRNA from 1 species
GGAUGCGAUGAUACCAACUCGCAUGCACUGGAUUCUAUUCGAAUUCUAAAAUUAAACGAGUUUGGCGAGAGUAGUACCAGAAUGAGUGACUUCCUGGGAAGUUCUCGUGUUGUAUCAA